rnacentral:rRNA from 1 species
AACGAACGCUGGCGGCAUGCCUAACACAUGCAAGUCGAACGAGACCUUCGGGUCUAGUGGCGCACGGGUGCGUAACGCGUGGGAAUCUGCCCUGGGGUGCGGAAUAACUCGGAGAAAUCCGUGCUAAUACCGCAUAAUGUCUUCGGACCAAAGAUUUUAUCGGUAUGGGAUGGGCCUGCGUCUGAUUAGCUGGUUGGUGGGGUAACGGCUCACCAAGGCGACGAUCAGUAGCCGACCUGAGAGGGUAAUCGGCCACAUUGGAACUGAGACACGGUCCAAACUCCUACGGGAGGCAGCAGUGGGGAAUAUUGCACAAUGGGCGAAAGCCUGAUGCAGCAACGCCGCGUGAGCGAGGAAGGCCUUUGGGUCGUAAAGCUCUGUCGAGGAGGAAGAUAAUGACGGUACUCCUCGAGGAAGCCCCGGCUAACUACGUG